rnacentral:rRNA from 1 species
UGGCGACAACAGCGCGGUGGUCCCACCUGACCCCAUGCCGAACUCAGAAGUGAAACGCCGUAGCGCCGAUGGUAGUGUGGGGUCUCCCCAUGUGAGAGUAGGGAAUUGCCA